UGCAUUAUGCUGAUGGGUGUCCACACCAAGUUCAGCAUCGAUAUGGUGACCUCCUAGGAGUGGGAGACCACCAGGUUGACUAAGGAACGGUGAACUGGCCCAGGUCAGAAUGGAAUAGAUUGAAACUCUGGUGCGGAUCAUGGUGGGAUUGGGCACACAAGCCUGGACA
rnacentral:SRP_RNA from 1 species